AGCAGCCGCGGUAAUUCCAGCUCCAAUAGCGUAUAUUAAAGUUGUUGCAGUUAAAAAGCUCGUAGUUGAAUUUCGGGACCAAUUUGUUGGUCGUGCCUCGGUACGUACUGGUAUUAUUGGUUUCUCCCUUCUGAAGAACCUCGAUGCCAUUAAUUUGGUGUCGUGGGGAAUCAGGACUGUUACUUUGAAAAAAUUAGAGUGUUUAAAGCAAGCAUACGCUUGAAUACAUUAGCAUGGAAUAAUGAAAUAGGACGUUUGAUUCUAUUUUGUUGGUUUCUAGGAUCGACGUAAUGAUUAAUAGGGAUAGUUGGGGGCAUUAGUAUUCAAUUGUCAGAGGUGAAAUUCUUGGAUUUAUUGAAGACUAACUACUGCGAAAGCAUUUGCCAAGGAUGUUUUCAUUAAUCAAGAACGAAAGUUAGGGGAUCGAAGACGAUCAGAUACCGUCGUAGUCUUAACCAUAAACUAUGCCGACUAGGGAUCGGAUGAUGUUAUUUUUAAUGACCCAUUCGGCGCCUUACGG
rnacentral:rRNA from 1 species